CUGAUUCAAAAGUCCCUGAUGCCCAAGCGGGUGCCGAGAAAAGUUUGACAGGUCUGGCUGCAGCUCUGGCAGGAUCAAACUAUAUUCAUC
rnacentral:ncRNA from 1 species